CUAUAGAGGGAAUGGGCCCUAUAGCAGGUCACUAUAGAGGGAAUGGGCCCUAUAGCAGGUCACUAUAGAGGGAAUGGGCCCUAUAGCAGGUCACUAUAGAUGGGGGAAUGGGCCCUAUAGCAGGUCACUAUAGAGGGAAUGGGCCCUAUAGCAGGUCACUAUAGAUGGGGGAAUGGGCCCUAUAGCAGGUCACUAUAGAGGGAAUGGGCCCUAUAGCAGGUCACUAUAGAGGGAAUGGGCCCUAUAGCAGGUCACUAUAGAGGGAAUGGGCCCUGGUCAAUAGCAGGUCACUAUGGGGAACGGGCCCUGGUCUCAGAGCGAUAUCGAGAGAUGUGUGGUUGGACCGGGUUGACAAGACUAUUGGAGAUGAGCCCUGGUGUGUCCGUGCGUUUCCAGUUGCAGUGAAUGCUAUUCUGAGGUGUGGGGUUGUUUGGGGCUCUGUGGCACAAAAUGGCUGCCGUGUGUCUCCCCGUAACGGAGGACACUGGACCCUGAACUCUGACCCUGCUUUGGCACAGUUUUACAGUAAUGUAACAUGGUGUGUGAGGUGGUGGUGGUGACAGUAGCAAGGAGGCCUCGUUCGCUGUAAUAGCACGAUGCUAACAUUUCAUAACAGUUCUAAAUCCCUAACAGGGGAUCUCUAAAUCAAUACAAACAAAAACAACAAUACCCUGAUUGAUCAAUAAACAGUAAGAAAGUCGAUCAGUUCGAUCAGUCGAUCAAAUAUUGGUCCCAGUAACAGUUGGGAGGUCAUUUGAUUGGUUGAUGGUGGGAAUGUAACUCAUUGAUUUGAUUAUCGAUUAGUUGAUUCAGCAUUUCUUGUUGUUGUAGGAUUUCAUACACAUGGGUCCUUCUGUUCUGUUCUGAGUAGAAGUCGUCUUUAACCACUGAUCAGAGGUCAGAUCUGAUCAGAUCAGAUAGGGGCACAGGGAAUCUGAUCCUAGAUCUGUGUUUAGGUUUGAACAGUAGAUAUGGGUAGUUAAGACUAGGGGCAUGGGGAAUCUGAUCCUAGAUCUGUGUUUAGGUUUGAACAGUAGAUAUGGGUAGUAGACUAGGGGCAUGGGGAAUCUGAUCCUAGAUCUGUGUUUAGGUUAGAACAGUAGAUAUGGGUAGACUAGGGGCACGGGGAAUCUGAUCCUAGAUCUGUGUUUAGGUUAGAACAGUAGAUAUGGGUAGUUAAGACUAGGGGCAUGGGGAAUCUGAUCCUAGAUCUGUGUUUAGGUUAGAACAGUAGAUAUGGGUAGUUAAGACUAGGGGCAUGGGGAAUCUGAUCCUAGAUCUGUGUUUAGGUUUGAACAGUAGAUAUGGGUAGUUAAGACUAGGGGCAUGGGGAAUCUGAUCCUAGAUCUGUGUUUAGGUUAGAACAGUAGAUAUGGGUAGUUAAGACUAGGGGCAUGGGGAAUCUGAUCCUAGAUCUGUGUUUAGGUUAGAACAGUAGAUAUGGGUAGUUAAGACUAGGGGCACGGGGAAUCUGAUCCUAGAUCUGUGUUUAGGUUAGAACAGUAGAUAUGGGUAGUUAAGACUAGGGGCAUGGGGAAUCUGAUCCUAGAUCUGUGUUUAGGUUUGAACAGUAGAUAUGGGUAGACUAGGGGCACGGGGAAUCUGAUCCUAGAUCUGUGUUUAGGUUAGAACAGUAGAUAUGGGUAGUUAAGACUAGGGGCAUGGGGAAUCUGAUCCUAGAUCUGUGUUUAGGUUAGAACAGUAGAUAUGGGUAGUUAAGACUAGGGGCAUGGGGAAUCUGAUCCUAGAUCUGUGUUUAGGUUAGAACAGUAGAUAUGGGUAGG